rnacentral:rRNA from 1 species
GACGAACGCUGGCGGCGUGCCUAAUACAUGCAAGUAGAACGCUGAAGGAGGAGCUUGCUCUUCUGGAUGAGUUGCGAACGGGUGAGUAACGCGUAGGUAACCUGCCUGGUAGCGGGGGAUAACUAUUGGAAACGAUAGCUAAUACCGCAUAACAGUAGAUGUUGCAUGACAUUUGCUUAAAAGGUGCAAUUGCACCACUACCAGAUGGACCUGCGUUGUAUUAGCUAGUUGGUGGGGUAACGGCUCACCAAGGCGACGAUACAUAGCCGACCUGAGAGGGGGAUCGGCCACACUGGGACUGAGACACGGCCCAGACUCCUACGGGAGGCAGCAGUAGGGAAUCUUCGGCAAUAGACGGAAGUCUGACCGAGCAACGCCGCGUGAGUGAAGAAGGUUUUCGGAUCGUAAAGCUCUGUUGUAAGAGAAGAACGAGUGUGAGAGUGGAAAGUUCACACUGUGACGGUAGCUUACCAGAAAGGGACGGCUAACUACGUG